GGUUGACUGGGUCCCUGAGGAUAUAACGCUCAUAUCAGCGACCUCUUCUUCCAUCCUUCAGAGCAAGUCUAAAAGCAGCUGAUUAUCAUCCUGUUUGUUGGUUCUGAAUUGAGCCAGUCCUAAAGGACCAGGACUUCAUUCAUUUUCCGUUGUGAAGAACACAACACAACACACCAGCCUGGCUGACAGGAGGCAGCGGAAAGCUGAAGACCAAGAGAUUUCUCCAAAAUGGCCCCUGACAUGCACAUCUAAGGCUGGCCCUGAUUGACAUCAAGUGCAGCAAUUAAACCCACCAGCUGAUGAAGGUGAGUUGAGAUGUUUCCAGGGCAAUGAUCUGAGAGCCCAGAGAAAAGCAG
rnacentral:lncRNA from 1 species